rnacentral:lncRNA from 1 species
AACGAUUGGUUCAGUUUCGGCUUCGCGAUUUAUUGUGCAUUGCUUUUCACAGUAGCUCACCAGGUUUAUCCACGCUUCAAACAAUAUGAUGUACCCGUACUCAUGUGACUUUCUGACAGGUUUUUCGCGGAACUUGUACAGCAAUACAAAAGAAAGACACGGACGAAUAAUCAAAAACCGGUUUAAACUAGUUUUUUUGCGGAUGCGUCAUGCCAGAUGGAAUCUUCAAGUGGUUUACUAGUAUAAACCGGUGUAGACUGGUUUUUGAAGACCAUUAUACUAAAGUAGUUUUACUGCACGAAAUUGAAGCGUGGCGGUGUCCAGCUAAAAUUAGAAAUUAGUUCAAGUCAUAAUGCAUCCUCACUUUGUAAAUACCUGAUUUGGAUGAAUAUUUUUCAGUCAUUUCUCCCAAAUAAUGCGUUUUCAAUGACUUCAACAAAACGUAGAGUGAAUUUAAGAGUAAAAAUAUGUCUACAUAAUCCAGCCUAGUACAACUAUAAAUGAGAUCAAAACACAUCAUGUUUUCAUCAUGAUACAGCUUUUGUUUCCGAAAAAAAGGAAGGGAAAAAUGUAGUUGAAAUCAGCAUACAUACUCUUUUACAAGCCAGUGUUCAGCCUUAGCUUAUUUUGUUUUUGUUUUUAUGAUAAUGAUUGCGGUACUCCUUAAAACAUCUAUUAAUUUUUGCAAAGUGUCCGUUUAAGGUACGUGUGAAAGUGAAAGGUGAUGUUUUUACUUAGCGAAAUUAUUAGUCUAUAGCUAGCCCGGCGUUAUUACUUGAUGUGAUCAAUCUAUGAUUUUGGUGGCGUUUGUACCACAGGAAGCCCAGAAGUCAAGCGUCCUAUCUCCAAGUCGCAUCAUUGCACAUUAGUAAAUUGAAACGUCAGUAUAAGUUAUUUCACCUACUUUUUUUACGGUGUUAAAUUUAUCUCUUUACAUAACUGUUACGUUUUGUAUACGUUUUUGUGACGAAAGGCCUUCUGGGAAGGCUUUCGUCACUAUGUCAUCCAUUCCACUUGAAGCAGGCGUUCCUAGCGGUUAUCAAAACAUGUGAUCGUUGUCAAGGAGAUGCCGCUGGCUAAGGGAACGAAGGCUACGAAAACGCGAUUACUGUCCUUCACGUGCUCUCUGACUGGUGUGUUGAUUCGAAGGUGAGUUGUGAAUACAACGUAUUCAAACUCUUUUGUGUCUAGAACUAGGCAAAACUAUCUAUGCAUUUGUAAAUUUAGUAUUUCUUAAGAAUUGUUCAGAUUUUUGGGCACUUUAUGUAGUUUGUGUUCCAACAAAAAUCUCGAUUGCAUCGCUUGGCUUUAUGACAUCAGUAAUUAAAGAAAUGGAGCUCAGAACCAGCUUCGGGAGACCAGAUAUCACAGCAGUGUAACUCAAAAUGUGCUUUGGCACACUAAAAAUUUCCCUCGGGAAACUAUACCGAGUUCAAGUUACAAAGAACCAUUACAGCUGUAUUCAAUACUGUGAAGUUCAUCAUCUUGAUGAUUACACUUACACAUGUCCAAGUGUCACAUACACCACUUUCUUACAGUUUUGUACAACUGAACAAACUGAAUCAGUGCUACCAGAAUGUGUUCAAUUUGACAUUCCAUCAUAUAAUGACACAGUAUAUGUGUAUUUUAUAUUUUUUUGUUAUGUUUGUUAUAGUUCACUAGUGCAGAAUACUUUUCUUGAACUAGUAAAGGAUUUUGUAAUGAUAAAACUGUUCUAGAAAAGUGUAAUAAUGCCCAAUGAAUUCCAAAAAAGCUCUAAAAUGUCCAAUUUUACAGUUUAAUUUAUUAGAGUGCUCGCACUUAAAGCGUGAAACUAAUAGUGCUAAUUACUACUAAAUAGUGUUGAUUAUACAAUAGGAAACAAAGAAAUUUGUAUAAUUUAUCACCUAUUUUGUAGUAUUUAUAUUUCACACAUUUAGUGCGAGCCUAUAAGUCCCUAUAGGUUUCUGGUUUCUGAUUAUAGCUAAAGUACAAAUAAUAAAAAAAUCAUCAAUUAAAGAAAGUUACUAAAACAAAA